rnacentral:tRNA from 1 species
UCUAUCAAAGGAGAAUA